rnacentral:rRNA from 1 species
AGUGGCGGACGGGUGAGUAACACGUGAGCAAUCUGCCUUUCAGAGGGGGAUACCGAUUGGAAACGAUCGUUAAUACCGCAUAACAUAAUUGAACCGCAUGAUUUGAUUAUCAAAGAUUUAUCGCUGAAAGAUGAGCUCGCGUCUGAUUAGCUAGUUGGUAAGGUAACGGCUUACCAAGGCGACGAUCAGUAGCCGGACUGAGAGGUUGAUCGGCCACAUUGGGACUGAGACACGGCCCAGACUCCUACGGGAGGCAGCAGUGGGGAAUAUUGCACAAUGGAGGAAACUCUGAUGCAGCGAUGCCGCGUGAGGGAAGAAGGUUUUAGGAUUGUAAACCUCUGUCUUCAGGGACGAAAAAAGACGGUACCUGAGGAGGAAGCUCCGGCUAACUACGUGCCAGCAGCCGCGGUAAUACGUAGGGAGCGAGCGUUGUCCGGAAUUACUGGGUGUAAAGGGAGCGUAGGCGGGAUCGCAAGUCAGAUGUGAAAACUAUGGGCUUAACCCAUAAACUGCAUUUGAAACUGUGGUUCUUGAGUGAAGUAGAGGUAAGCGGAAUUCCUAGUGUAGCGGUGAAAUGCGUAGAUAUUAGGAGGAACAUCAGUGGCGAAGGCGGCUUACUGGGCUUUAACUGACGCUGAGGCUCGAAAGCGUGGGGAGCAAACAGGAUUAGAUACCCUGGUAGUCCACGCCGUAAACGAUGAUUACUAGGUGUGGGGGGACUGACCCCUUCCGUGCCGCAGCAAACGCAAUAAGUAAUCCACCUGGGGAGUACGACCGCAAGGUUGAAACUCAAAGGAAUUGACGGGGGCCCGCACAAGCAGUGGAGUAUGUGGAUUAAUUCGAAGCAACGCGAAGAACCUUACCAGGUCUUGACAUCGUAUGCAUAGCUCAGAGAUGAGUGAAAUCUCUUCGGAGACAUAUAGACAGGUGGUGCAUGGUUGUCGUCAGCUCGUGUCGUGAGAUGUUGGGUUAAGUCCCGCAACGAGCGCAACCCUUACUGUUAGUUGCUACGCAAGAGCACUCUAGCAGGACUGCCGUUGACAAAACGGAGGAAGGUGGGGAUGACGUCAAAUCAUCAUGCCCCUUAUGACCUGGGCCUCACACGUACUACAAUGGCUGUCAACAGAGGGAAGCAAAGCCGCGAGGUGGAGCGAACCCCUAAAAGCAGUCUUAGUUCGGAUUGUAGGCUGCAACCCGCCUACAUGAAGUCGGAAUUGCUAGUAAUCGCAGAUCAGCAUGCUGCGGUGAAUACGUUCCCGGGCCUUGUACACACCGCCCGUCACGCCAUGGGAGUCGGUAACACCCGAAG